CUCACAAUGAUCCUCAGCUCCUGGUAGCCACGCCAUUAUAUAAUCUCUUCUCACACUAAAUCAGGGGUUAACUGCGUAAUCAAUAGAAUAUGGCAGAAGUGAUGGUGUGUGACCUCAGAUGCUAGGUCAUAAAAGAGAAUGACACUUCCACCUUCUUGGAUUUCUCACCCUGGGGAAAUCCACACCAUGUCAUAACACUCAAGCAGUCCCCUGGAAAGGACCCUCUGAAGAGGAAAUGAGGUCUCCCAUCAGCAGCUACAGCCAACUUGCCAGCCAUGUCAGAUGACACUUUCAUGAAGAAGUUUCCCUGAGGGCUCACCUUUGUUUCAGAAAACUGAAGGCACUGGAUGGAUUUCAAAACGACUGCCCUUUCCCUCCCCUUGCCAGAAGCAAGAGGGCGUUUUUCUCUGAUCUUCACUGUGAGAACCUCAAGUGGCUUCUGGAGGUGGAUUGGCAAAGGGCUUGAGGACUCACCUGAGUCACAUGACCACGCACUCUGGCACGGACGCUGAAGGAGGGUGCUCCCUACCCUGCUGCUCUCAGGCAAGACCUUUGGAUCACUUCUAAUAGAGCCUCCCUCCCCCUCCAGCCAGGAAGCAAAGUCUGGCCAGGCCACCAGGAGAGCCUAAGGAAUAGGGUCUCCAGUGUAAGAGCCCUUCCCUCUCCUUCCUUCUCCUCCCCACCCCUCCCCACCCCGCUCCUCUACCCCUGCCCUGUGCUUACUAGUAGGUAACUGUCCGAGAAGGAAGUAGAGGCUGGUGAGGUGCCUGGAGGGCAGAAGGAAUGAGGUUGGCGCAGGCUCCGCACCAGCAGCCAGCACCUGUGGAGGCGGAUCAUGAUGGGUUGCUGAGCAGGUGGGAGUUUAGCCGCUAGCCCUGAGCGCAGUGAGUACAGCAUCUCAAAGGAAAUCCAAGUAACUUUGCAAGGGAGUUGUCUCAUGAUGUUUCAAAAUGUGCCCAUGAGUAAAAAGAAAAAUCAAAGCUCAGAAUAAAUAUGUUG